CAGGAUGAACGCUAGCGGCAGGCUUAACACAUGCAAGUCGAGGGGUAACAGGUAGCUUGCUAUGCUGACGACCGGCGAACGGGUGCGUAACGCGUAUAGAAUCUGCCUUGUACAGGAGGAUAGCCUUUAGAAAUGAAGAUUAAUACUCCAUAAUGUUAAUUAGAGGCAUCUCUUAUUAAUUAAACAUUUAUGGGUACAAGAUGACUAUGCGUCCUAUUAGCUAGAUGGUAAGGUAACGGCUUACCAUGGCAACGAUAGGUAGGGGGUCUGAGAGGAUUAUCCCCCACACUGGUACUGAGACACGGACCAGACUCCUACGGGAGGCAGCAGUGAGGAAUAUUGGUCAAUGGAGGCAACUCUGAACCAGCUAUGCCGCGUGCAGGAAGACUGCCCUAUGGGUUGUAAACUGCUUUUAUACAGGAAGAAACAGUAGUACGUGUACUACCUUGACGGUACUGUAAGAAUAAGGACCGGCUAACUCCGUGCCAGCAGCCGCGGUAAUACGGAGGGUCCAAGCGUUAUCCGGAAUCAUUGGGUUUAAAGGGUCCGCAGGCGGUCAAUUAAGUCAGAGGUGAAAGCCCAUCGCUCAACGAUGGAACUGCCUUUGAUACUGGUUGACUUGAGUUAUACGGAAGUAGAUAGAAUAAGUAGUGUAGCGGUGAAAUGCAUAGAUAUUACUUAGAAUACCGAUUGCGAAGGCAGUCUACUACGUAUAUACUGACGCUCAUGGACGAAAGCGUGGGGAGCGAACAGGAUUAGAUACCCUGGUAGUCCACGCCGUAAACGAUGGAUACUAGUUGUUGGGUUUCGACUCAGUGACUAAGCGAAAGUGAUAA
rnacentral:rRNA from 1 species